AUCAGUGCCGCCCGCCAUCUUGUCUCAGUGUCUGGUUUGGCGGCGGAAGCACUGGCGGACUGUGAGUCUGUGAGUGGCAGGCGCGCCGGCUCUUUUGUCUGAGUGUAACGCGGUGGCUUGGUUCCAGGCAUUCCGGUGAUUUCCCCAGGGCAGUCCGCAGAAGCUGCAGCGGCCGCCCGCGCUCUCUCUUCACUCCCCACACCCGAGAAAGACCGAGCCCGCGUCACGCCCCUCAGCCCCCGGCGAAUCCCUUCUCUGUCGUCGCGUCCGAAUCAAGUUCCCGGAAUCAGACGGUGCCCCAUAGAUGGCCAGCUUUCCCCCGAGGGUCAACGAGAAAGAGAUCGUGAGAUCACGCACUAUAGGGGAACUUUUAGCUCCAGCAGCUCCUUUCGACAAGAAAUGUGGUGGUGAAAACUGGACUGUUGCUUUUGCUCCAGAUGGUUCCUACUUCGCAUGGUCUCAAGGAUACCGUAUAGUGAAGCUUGUCCCGUGGUCCCAGUACCUUAAGAACUUUCUUUUGCAUGGUUCCAAGAAUGUUACCAACUCAAGCUCUCUAAAAUUGGCAAGACAAAAUAGUAAUGGUAGUCAAAAAAAUAAGCCUCGUGAACACAUUAUAGACUGUGGAGACAUCGUCUGGAGUCUUGCUUUUGGGUCUUCAGUUCCAGAAAAACAGAGUCGUUGCGUUAAUAUAGAAUGGCACCGGUUCAGAUUUGGACAGGAUCAGCUACUCCUUGCCACAGGGUUAAACAAUGGUCGCAUCAAAAUCUGGGAUGUAUAUACAGGAAAACUACUCCUUAAUUUGGUAGACCACAUUGAAGUGGUUAGAGAUUUAACUUUUGCCCCAGAUGGGAGCUUACUCCUUGUAUCAGCUUCAAGAGACAAAACUCUUAGAGUGUGGGACCUGAAAGAUGAUGGAAACAUGGUGAAAGUAUUGCGGGGACAUCAGAAUUGGGUGUACAGUUGUGCAUUCUCUCCAGACUGUUCUAUGCUGUGUUCAGUUGGAGCCAGUAAAGCAGUGGUGGCAGCAAUAUUGGUGUGAUUGAGGUUAUGCUGGCACCACUCGCACACAGGCGCACAAUGGUGUUAGCUGGGCAGAAAGAGUGGCAUCUCUGGCUACCGGGCUGGGGGCGACCUUUACCAUAGGAUGAAGUAACCUUGCAUUCGGCUGCAAGGUGUACUGUACGUACACAGGUGCUGGUCGAUGUCCACUUUCUGCUUUUCUUUCUUUUCUUUUUCUUUUCUUUUUUCCUUUAAAAAGUAAUUUCCCCCACAGUAAUGUCCAGACUCCUGAGUAAAUUGAUCUUCCAGUUUGAAGGAAUUGAGAGUCUGACAAAUAAAUUAUGUAAAGUAAUUGGUUUUUGAAUGCUUUCUCUGUUUUUUUUUUGAGUUAAGAUACUAGCAGUACCUUAAAUUAUUUACCCAGUUAUUAUACUUAUUUUCCUUUGGAAAUAAUGCGUGCAGAAAGGAAGUAGCAGAAAGGAUUAUUCUACUGAAAGAGGAGGGAAGCUGUCUCACAAGGCUUGCUGUAAGCCUCCCCGUUUACAUUUACUCUAACAGUAAGCAUUAGAACACUGUCUAGAACUACUUGAGAGGCUAAGGCAAGUGGAUAGGCCAGCCUAGGCUACUUAAAAGUCAGCCUUAACUUCUUGGUGAGACACUACCUCAAAGCAAAAAACCAGCAAAACGUAUUUAGAACCUUCUGCACAGUCUUUGGAUGUUUAAAAUCUAAACUGUAUGUGGAUGUACUUUUAAGUAAUUUAACUGUUUUAUGCUGAAUAACUGAUGAUUAUAGUUAUUUUGGAAAAAUAAGUGUUAAAUCUUGAUUACCAAAAAAUGUUGUAAUUAUAUUAUUUUCAUAAAAUAGUAUUUUCAUCUGUAAUAUGGUUUAAUAACAUCCUUGUUGUUUGCCAACAAAAUUAUUUUUGGCUGUGAAAAUUCUCUUUGCUUGCAGUAUCUGUUUCUCUUCCUAGGCUCUCGUGGUGACCCAAGCCUAUUGUAAACAAGUGAUUAUCUCAAAGGGAGAUGCCAAUGGAGUAACAAUUGCUAACAUUACAUUUUCUGUCUGUAUAUAUUUUUAAAAAUUAGUAGUUUCUGGAAAAAAGAGAAAGGGGUUUGUAAUACUUAACCCUAUUUAUUUCCAUAUAUUUUAGUUAAUUAGAUUUUGGAAUAAAUGGAUUUCAGUAUUUGUGGUUAAAUUGCAUUGCCUUUAUUUUCCCUUUAGGCUUAUUUUUUAAAUUAACAUUUAACAGAAACAUUUGAAAUAGAAAUUUGCAUGUCUACUUUAAUUAACUUAAAGACUGAUUUUUAAUCUACGACACUGAGCAUAUUCUUUAAAUUACUCAUAAUUUAUAAUUAAUUUGAUGUAAUAUUUAAAGUAGCAAUUAUAGUUUAAGAUGUGCCCCUUUGUCCUCUGUGUGUCUGAGUGAAACUAUAACAUUUCCCUCUUUUAUUAUUUCAGGUUUUCCUUUGGGAUAUGGAUAAAUACACCAUGAUUAGGAGACUGGAAGGCCAUCACCAUGAUGUUGUAGCUUGUGACUUUUCUCCUGACGGAGCAUUACUAGCUACUGCAUCUUACGAUACUCGUGUGUAUGUCUGGGAUCCACACAUUGGAGACAUUCUGAUGGAGUUCGGGCACCUGUUUCCCCCGCCUACUCCAAUAUUUGCUGGAGGAGCAAAUGACCGAUGGGUGAGAGCUGUGUCUUUCAGUCAUGAUGGCCUGCAUGUUGCCAGCCUUGCUGAUGAUAAAAUGGUGAGGUUCUGGAGAAUCGGUGAGGAUUGUCCAGUACAAGUUGCACCUUUGAGCAAUGGGCUUUGCUGUGCCUUUUCUACUGAUGGCAGUGUUUUAGCUGCUGGGACACAUGAUGGAAGUGUGUAUUUUUGGGCCACUCCAAGGCAAGUCCCUAGUCUUCAACAUUUAUGUCGCAUGUCAAUCCGAAGAGUGAUGCCCACCCAAGAAGUCCAGAAGCUGCCUGUUCCUUCCAAAAUGUUGGAGUUUCUCUCCUACCGGGCUUAGAAUGAGGACUGCCUUUCCUGGUAGGGCUGGCAGAGCACCCUUUACAAACACACCUCAGGCUUUACCAGCUCAAGCAUCUGUUCUGGAAGGCUCGGAAGAUUUAUUUAAUUUGAUCCACUCUUAUACUUUAUUUCAUUAGUUGGACUUUUAAAGCAUUAUUUAUACACCAUAGGAGAAAUAUUUCUGAACAUAUCAUGUAAUUUUUUUUAAGAUUAACUGUGAAAACAUUAUAUACAUGUAUGUAUAUAUAUAUUUAGACACGAGCUGCUGCUAUAUAUUGAAUGGGCCCUUUAGUUUUUCUCUUAGUUCUGACCUGUAUAUAUUGCUUUAAUAGAGCCACGAUGUGUAUAUGUGCUGUUCAUUAGAGCAUAUUCAGGGGAAUUUUUGUUCUUUAUUUGGGGGCACUGAGUUUAGGUGAUUUUGAAUAAAAUAGAAUCGCCUCAUAGGAUAUGGAAUUGGUCAGGAUGGAUGGUGUGAAACUGACUGGUAAGAGGUUUUGUGUGUUAAAAAGAUUUUCCAAAAGAAUGGUGUCUGGAAGUUUGAAUGUGACAUUUAAAAAAAGAGCCAAGGAAAAAGAUGUUUAGAAUAAGAUUGGCUCUUGUAGGCCUUAAUUUUGGAAAGCAGCUAUUUACCCCUCAGAGAAUAAAGUAUUAUGCAUUCUUGUCAAUUUGAAAACUACAUCUACUGUAUUAUUGCUGAAUAUUUUGUUAAUACUAAGGGACAAUUAUUUUAAGACCAUGGGUUUUGUUUUUAACAUAUUUUGUUUCUGCAGAGGAUAUUGGUGACUUACCAAAGAGAAACAAUACACAAUAUGUCUGCUUUAGCCUUCUUUUAUUUAUCUCAUCUGCAGAUGUUGAGAAUGUAUGCAUUAUGUAAAAUGCUUGUUUUUUUAUCUUUGGGUUUUUUUUAAUUAAACGACAAAAAGAUUGCA